rnacentral:rRNA from 1 species
CGAACGCUGGCGGCAGGCCUAACACAUGCAAGUCGAACGGACCCUUCGGGGUUAGUGGCGGACGGGUGAGUAACACGUGGGAACGUGCCUUUAGGUUCGGAAUAGCUCCUGGAAACGGGUGGUAAUGCCGAAUGUGCCCUUCGGGGAAGAUUUAUCGCCUUUAGAGCGGCCCGCGUCUGAUUAGCUAGUUGGUGGGGCGAAUGGCCCACCAAGGCUACGAUCAGUAGCUGGUCUGAGAGGAUGACCAGCCACAUUGGGACUGAGACACGGCCCAAACUCCUACGGGAGGCAGCAGUGGGGAAUCUUGCGCAAUGGGCGAAAGCCUGACGCAGCCAUGCCGCGUGUAUGAUGAAGGUCUUAGGAUUGUAAAAUACUUUCACCGGUGAAGAUAAUGACUGUAGCCGGAGAAGAAGCCCCGGCUAACUUCGUGCCAGCAG